rnacentral:rRNA from 1 species
GCAAUGGACGAAAGUCUGACCGAGCAACGCCGCGUGAGUGAAGAAGGUUUUCGGAUCGUAAAGCUCUGUUGUAAGUCAAGAACGUGUGUGAGAGUGGAAAGUUCACACAGUGACGGUAGCUUACCAGAAAGGGACGGCUAACUACGUGCCAGCAGCCGCGGUAAUACGUAGGUCCCGAGCGUUGUCCGGAUUUAUUGGGCGUAAAGGGAGCGCAGGCGGUCAGGAAAGUCUGGAGUAAAAGGCUAUGGCUCAACCAUAGUGUGCUCUGGAAACUGUCUGACUUGAGUGCAGAAGGGGAGAGUGGAAUUCCAUGUGUAGCGGUGAAAUGCGUAGAUAUAUGGAGGAACACCAGUGGCGAAAGCGGCUCUCUGGUCUGUCACUGACGCUGAGGCUCGAAAGCGUGGGUAACGAACAGGAUUAGAUACCCUGGUAGUCCACGCCGUAAACGAUGAGUGCUAAGGUGUUAGGCCCUUUCCGGGGCUUAGUGCCGGAGCUAACGCAAUAAGCACUCCGCCUGGGGAGUACGACCGCAAGGUUGAAACUCAAAGGAAUUGACGGGGG